rnacentral:rRNA from 1 species
AUUGAACGCUGGCGGCAUGCUUUACACAUGCAAGUCGAACGGUAACAGGUUAAGCUGACGAGUGGCGAACGGGUGAGUAAUGCAUCGGAACGUGCCCGGUCGUGGGGGAUAACGCAGCGAAAGCUGCGCUAAUACCGCAUACGAUCUGAGGAUGAAAGCGGGGGACCGUAAGGCCUCGCGCGAUCGGAGCGGCCGAUGUCAGAUUAGGUAGUUGGUGGGGUAAAGGCUCACCAAGCCGACGAUCUGUAGCUGGUCUGAGAGGACGACCAGCCACACUGGGACUGAGACACGGCCCAGACUCCUACGGGAGGCAGCAGUGGGGAAUUUUGGACAAUGGGCGCAAGCCUGAUCCAGCAAUGCCGCGUGCAGGAAGAAGGCCUUCGGGUUGUAAACUGCUUUGUACGGAGCGAAAAGGCUCUCUCUAAUACAGGGGGCUCAUGACGGUACCGUAAGAGUAAGCACCGGCUAACUACGUGCCAGCAGCCGCAGUAA